AACGAACGCUGGCGGCGCGCUUAACACAUGCAAGUCGAACGCACCGGUUUCGGCCGGUGAGUGGCGGACGGGUGAGUAACGCGUGGGAACCUGCCCUUUGGUCUGGGGUAACCGCGGGAAACCGCGGCUAAGACCGGAUAUUCCCGUGAGGGGAAAGACAUGUCGCCGAAGGAUGGGCCCGCGUCGGAUUAGGUAGUUGGUGGGGUAACGGCCCACCAAGCCUGCGAUCCGUAGCUGGUCUGAGAGGAUGGCCAGCCACACUGGGACUGAGACACGGCCCAGACUCCUACGGGAGGCAGCAGUGGGGAAUCUUGGACAAUGGGCGAAAGCCUGAUCCAGCGACGCCGCGUGGGUGACGAAGGCCUUCGGGUUGUAAAGCCCUUUUGCCGGGGACGAUGAUGACGGUACCCGGAGAAGAAGCACCGGCUAACUCCGUGCCAGCCGCCGCCGUAAUAC
rnacentral:rRNA from 1 species